GAAGGAGAGCAAACUAUAUUACCCUUGUAGCGUUGCAGAAUGGUCCUCGUUGCAGAAGUGUCUAACCAAUCAGAUUGUCUCUUGUAUCUCCCAUACCGUCCAUCCAAUCAAAGUGCCUUGUGAUCGUGUCUUGUACCUCGUGGAGAUCGUGCCAAGGGGAGAUCGUUCAUAGGGUCGUGUUGGAAUUGUUAACUUGGUGAAUCACUUUUUCAGCAUUUACCUUUAUUCAAGGCUGGAAUGGCAGAAUAACCAGGAGACAUUACAAGGUCUUAAUGGUGGCAGCAACCAAUUAUGAGCCAUAGCAAGAUUCAAACAAUGACAACAUGCAAGUGAGCACCAUCGCCUGAUCCAAGUGCCAACUGUGCCAGAAUGUGAACUUUUAUUGGAUCUGUAUCGUACAGUGAAAAAACGUUGUUUGAGAAGCUAAUCACCCACCUUUCAACUGUGGUGGCGAGUAUUGAGAUUGCAGAUGUAACACAUCAUUUGAUUGUGACCUUGACACAGCUUGAUAUCGAAUCAGUACAAAUAGGGUGCAAGUGCAUAUAGUACAAAUGAAAUCCCCCAGCUUUCUGGUCUGUCUGAAGUUGAUCGGCCAAACUGUGACUCGCUUAAGCUGGCAACAAUGAAUCAGGUGGUUCCUGAUGAUACCCCCUGGUGAACCAGGUUAAUAUCCCUACCAUUUUCUGUUAUUAAAAAUGUAGAAAAUGGAUAGGGAGGGGACCAGUAACCUUGCGUUGUCUCUUUUUAUGUUUUAUUUUAAGACUCCACAACCAUACGUAGUAAACUGUAUGUCCGAUCGGGUCUUAUGGAGGUAAAUGACAGAGGAUCGUAUGACAGCAGUGCCGGAGAUAUGCUUUAAAUAUGAAUAGAGUCUAGUGGCAAAGUUUAACUAGCGCAGAUUUGUGUAGUAAAUAAAUACACUUGUACUUUGAGUUGAAAUGUCAUUUGUUCUGUUCCUUGUUUAGUUCUUUAUAAAUUCAGUUUAUAACCUUUA